CUUAGCUGUACAGAUAGGAGUCUAUUAAUUUGGACUCUUUGAAAGGGAAUUAAAUUAAAACAAAGCCCUCAAUUCCUGUAUCCAGGAGCCCUUCCUCACUUUAUCUGCCUCCCUCCCUCCAUUAUGGAUUUUACCCACUUUCCUCACUCUUGUACUCUGCAGAAGAUGCCAUAUUUGAUUGACUACUCUGGAAAAUGUGGAGGGGAAGACAUACCUCAGACUUGGUUUGCUCUUCAUGGAGGUGAGGCUCGAAGUCCCAAGGGAAUAUUUGAGAUACUUUUAGCCUGCUAAGAGUGUUUAGUUCAGGGGGUCAGUGCAGGGAUGUUACAUUGUACCUUCCUGAAGUCAGGAGGAAUGUUACUACUAAAAUCAGAGCUAUUUUCCCUGUUUUCUACUUUCCGGAUCCAUUAGCCCACUGGACACAAAGACAGAAUUUGCUCACUCCUCUUCCCAGAGACUUUCAAGACUGGCCAUGGAUUUCUGGUGGAGCUGUGCAGACAUAUUCCAUUCUCUACUGUCAUACACUGCCAUACAAUCCACUCUCCAAAAGAAGAUUUAUGGACCUUUGUUUUGUUGUUGUUAUUCUUUGCUUCCUUUAUUUUUCUUUCUUAUUUAUAUAAAGAAUUAAAUAUUUAUGUAUGUAUAGUUCUAGACAUCUAAAGUUUGAAUUCCAUCUAACAUCUUUCAGAAGUGUAUGUUGAUGUCCUCAGUCGAAAUACCUCAACAUUCAACCUUUUGUCCUUGAGCUUCAUAGCCAAAACAAGAAAUAUUUAAGACUAGCUAGGACAAAAAUUAGAAUUCUGGAGGACAAAAUGCAGUUUUAAGAUUCAAAAUUAUUCUUUAAUUAGGUUUUGUCUGAUGAGUAAGUGGAGAUAAAAGGACAGAGAGGUUUCUUUUCAGUACUUUCCAACUGAAAUGUUGUGACAGUUCAGGCUCCAAUUUGACAUGCUUAACAAAAUGCUUGAGUUGAUCCAGAAAAAUAAUUUGACUUUUUUUUUUUUUUUCCCAAACUAUGUGGGCAAAAAGAUGCUUUGGAC
rnacentral:lncRNA from 1 species